rnacentral:rRNA from 1 species
CCUACGGGAGGCAGCAGUGGGGAAUUUUGGACAAUGGGCGCAAGCCUGAUCCAGCAAUGCCGCGUGAGUGAAGAAGGCCUUCGGGUUGUAAAGCUCUUUUGUCAGGGAAGAAACGGCAGUUUCUAAUACAGAUUGCUAAUGACGGUACCUGAAGAAUAAGCACCGGCUAACUACGUGCCAGCAGCCGCGGUAAUACGUAGGGUGCAAGCGUUAAUCGGAAUUACUGGGCGUAAAGCGUGCGCAGGCGGUUUUGUAAGUUUGUCGUGAAAUCCCCGGGCUCAACCUGGGAAUGGCGAUGAAGACUGCAAGGCUAGAAUCUGGCAGAGGGGGGUAGAAUUCCACGUGUAGCAGUGAAAUGCGUAGAGAUGUGGAGGAACACCGAUGGCGAAGGCAGCCCCCUGGGUCAAGAUUGACGCUCAUGCACGAAAGCGUGGGGAGCAAACAGGAUUAGAUACCCUGGUAGUCCACGCCCUAAACGAUGUCUACUAGUUGUCGGGUUUUAAUUAACUUGGUAACGCAGCUAACGCGUGAAGUAGACCGCCUGGGGAGUACGGUCGCAAGAUUAAAACNCAAAUGAAUUGACCGGNUGAGAGNGCGAGACGACGACGAGGGAGGAGG